rnacentral:rRNA from 1 species
UACGUAGGGUGCGAGCGUUAAUCGGAAUUACUGGGCGUAAAGUGUGCGCAGGCGGUCUGUUAAGUUUGACGUGAAAGCUCCCGGCUUAACUGGGAGAGGUCGUUGAAGACUGGCAGACUUGAGGCGAUGAGAGGGGUGUAGAAUUCCCGGUGUAGUGGUGGAAUGCGUAGAUAUCGGGGGGAAUACCAGUGGCGAAAGCGGCACCCUAGCGUUAGCCUGACGCUCAUGUGCGAAAGCGUGGGGAGCAAACGGG